rnacentral:rRNA from 1 species
AUGGAACGCUGGGUUCAACUUGUCUGUAUGGUCAAGCAACACCCUCCGGUAGAUGAAACGGACACCCCCAUCUGGGGUUUAGAACCAAAUGGGCUAUUUUUAGUUAAGUCUUUUUAUAAACAAAUCAAUUUUGGUGGGGUGGUUUCUGACAUUAGUCCUAAGAUGUGGAAAAUCCUAUGCCCACAGAAUAUUCAUGUAUUCUUGUGGCUAUGUGUUCACAACAAGAUACUUACUAGAGAUAACCUUGCGAAGAGGAGGGAAGUGGAAGACCCUUCAUGCUUGUUCUGUGCGGAAUUUGAAACCGUUCAACACUUGUUGUUUGAUUGUGUGGUGGCCCAGCAAGUGUGGAAUCUUAUUGCAGAUAUGUUUAAUAUUGAUAGAAUAUCCCGUUUUACAAAAAUUAUGUCCUUCUGGCAUAGACAUAAGGAAAAAGCUGUUUUGAAUAUGGUAACAACUGCUGCCUUGUGGAGCUUGUGGAGAUCAAGGAAUGAAUUUUGUUUUCAGGGGCGCAAGUGGAAAAAUGUGAAAUGCAUUCUUGCAAAACUAAGCUGCUUUUUACACCAAUGGAUGGUUCUCUAUGACGAUGGGCAAGCAAAGCUUCUACAGCGAUGCAUCCUACUGCUGGACAAACGGCGUGGGGAACUCCUCCGGAUUGCUUGGAAGUGA